GGGAAAUGUAGGAAAGGAGAGAGUUGCCAUGUGAUCCCAGGAAGAGAGGACACAUAAGGCUGUCGCCCUCGCAUCUCUGGAUACCUGGUGUAUUCCAUGACUUCCAGAUGCAGAAGGUAGUAUCCUUGGCCGUCGACAAGGGCCCUCCAUGCCCCUCCCUUCCCUCAACUACAACUGGUAGGAUUGAUGGCACACGAAGUGUACUCUUGGAUCACUGCUAUGUUUGAGCAAUGCAUCACAACCAUUACCCAGCUGCAUGCACUAAAAUGCCUUUCCAUACAUGGGUGCGUGUUACCCUGGAAAACUGAAGGCUUUUAUUUCAAAUUGGUUUACUUUGAAGUUUUCUUUGGUGCACAUCCUACUAUGCCAUAAGAGAAGUCUAUUCCAGGUUGGGAUACUGCUCACAUUUGCAAGCAUUUCAGCACACUAAGCUGCAUUGACAGAAACUCAUGAACAUGGUCAACUUUGCCACCGAAGUCUGUCCUGUGGGCACCGCACUGACCUCCACAGAGUGGACGGACUGGGUUUCCAAGUGUCGACAGUAAGAGCGAGCUUGAAGCCCAGAAGGAGUCUGAGAAACCACCUUGCAGUGUGUGUGGGUAACUUCAUCCUGCGGCUGUGAGCAGUGAGCAACAGGUCCCUAGACGAAAGAGCAGGAGCGCUGGCGUGCCGCACCACCCUCCCGACAGACCGCACUGGCUCUCCACCGCUUCCCGAGGGGCCUCAGUUUCCCAGUCAGGGCUG
rnacentral:lncRNA from 1 species